GUUACAAUCUUUAGGCAGUUUUUUUUAAGAAAAAAAAACUACUAAAAUUGAUAAUAUCAAGCGGUGUUAUUUGAAGAAUCCAACAUUUCACCAGCAAACUUUGGCGUACUUAACUUUUUCGGCAUCGAAAGUCUUCAUCCUGAAAAUUCCAACCUGUGGUUAAACUGAUGUUCCUGGAUGGAUCAAGGUCGGUCACUCUACGGAUACGGUGGGGAUACGUUCCUUGGGGCCCGCUAGAUGGAAUGAGGCGAUAGUUGGAUGUUCCCUAAUUGGGAUAAACCCCAACUAAAGAGCAAGCGUAUGUCAAUGUCUUUAUGUUUAACUGUCCUUAUAAUUUUGAAUAAAAUGAGUACAGCAUGUAUUUAUAAUAUUGUAA